rnacentral:ncRNA from 1 species
GUAUAGGCUAUGAUGAAAAGUAGUAAAAAGUCCAAGUUCUACAGAGAGUGAGUGGUAGGUGAAAACUCACGUACUAAGCUUUUGAAUCCGUUUCUGAGCUUUAUCUUUGAAGGCGCUAGCUCUAGGAGAUAACGUCUACCUACGUUACAGGUUCAAGUGGUCUUUGUAGACAAUUUGGGUGGCACCGCGGAAGUAUAAGCUUUCGUCCCUUUU